UUAUUCAACUACAAAAACCCUA
rnacentral:tRNA from 1 species